rnacentral:rRNA from 1 species
GAUGAACGCUGGCGGCGUGCCUAAUACAUGCAAGUCGAGCGAACAGACGAGGAGCUUGCUCCUCUGACGUUAGCGGCGGACGGGUGAGUAACACGUGGAUAACCUACCUAUAAGACUGGGAUAACUUCGGGAAACCGGAGCUAAUACCGGAUAAUAUAUUGAACCGCAUGGUUCAAUAGUGAAAGACGGUUUUGCUGUCACUUAUAGAUGGAUCCGCGCCGCAUUAGCUAGUUGGUAAGGUAACGGCUUACCAAGGCAACGAUGCGUAGCCGACCUGAGAGGGUGAUCGGCCACACUGGAACUGCGACACGGUCCAGACGCCUACGGGAGGCAGCCGUAGGGAAUCUUCCUCAAUGGGCGAAAGCUUGACGGAGCAACGCCGCGUGAGUGAUGAAGGUCUUCGCAUCCUAAAACUCUGUUAUUAGGGAAGAACAAAUUUGUAAGUAACUAUGCACGUCUUGACGGUACCUAAUCAGAAAGCCACGGCUAACUACGUG